rnacentral:rRNA from 1 species
CUUCGCUCCCGUUCCGCGCUGUCCGUCACACACAGGAUGGCGUCCGCCAUGGAGCUCUCCCUCCUCAACCCCGCAAUGCACCACCACGGCAUCGCGGCCAAGACGGCCUCCCCCCUCCCGGUUCUCCCCGCGCGCCGGGGCGCCGUCCGCUUCCGCGUGAGGGCCGCCGCCGCGGCGCCGCCCGCACCCGCCGCGAAGCCCGGCUCGCCCAAGAAGCGGGGCAAGACGGAGGUCAACGAGUCGCUGCUCACGCCGCGCUUCUACACCACGGACUUCGACGAGAUGGAGCAGCUAUUCAACGCCGAGAUUAACAAGCAGCUCAACCAGGACGAGUUCGACGCGCUGCUGCAGGAGUUCAAGACGGACUACAACCAGACCCACUUCAUCCGCAACCCCGAGUUCAAGGAAGCUGCCGACAAGAUGCAGGGCCCGCUCCGCCAGAUCUUCGUCGAGUUCCUCGAGCGCUCCUGCACCGCCGAGUUCUCCGGGUUCCUCCUCUACAAGGAGCUCGGCCGCAGGCUCAAGGUUCGUGUACCACUUCUUCUUCUUCUUCUCUGCUCUUGCAUGUGGGCAUUUCGUAGAGCAGCUGGUGGGUGUGCGCUGAUGCCCGCGUUUCCUUUUCAGAAAACCAACCCGGUGGUGGCUGAGAUCUUCUCGCUCAUGUCCAGGGACGAGGCCCGGCACGCUGGGUUCUUGAACAAGGGGCUGUCCGACUUCAACCUGGCUCUGGACCUCGGCUUCUUGACCAAGGCUAGGAAGUACACCUUCUUCAAGCCAAAGUUCAUCUUCUACGCCACAUACCUGUCCGAGAAGAUCGGCUACUGGAGGUACAUCACCAUCUUCAGGCACCUAAAGGCCAACCCGGAGUACCAGGUGUACCCCAUCUUCAAGUACUUCGAGAACUGGUGUCAGGACGAGAACCGGCAUGGCGAUUUCUUCUCCGCGCUGCUCAAGGCGCAGCCGCAGUUCCUCAAUGACUGGAAGGCCAAGCUCUGGUCACGCUUCUUCUGCCUCUCGGUGUAUAUAACCAUGUACCUGAAUGACUGCCAACGUAGUGCCUUCUACGAAGGAAUUGGUCUCAACACCAAAGAAUUCGACAUGCAUGUCAUCUAUGAGACAAACCGCACGACGGCGAGGAUCUUCCCUGCUGUACCGGAUGUUGAGAACCCUGAAUUCAAGAGGAAGCUAGACAGGAUGGUAGAUAUCAACCUGAAGAUCAUUUCUAUAGGAGAGUCCAACGACAUGCCCCUGGUGAAGAACCUGAAGAGGGUUCCUCUUAUUGCCCAACUAGUGUCUGAGAUCAUCGCUGCGUACCUCAUGCCCCCAAUCGAGUCUGGCUCCGUUGAUUUUGCCGAGUUUGAGCCCAAGCUUGUCUACUGAAUUUGUAGAAGAAGGAUCCAUCUAUGCCUUUCUUUUCAGACAUAAUCAUGCAUCAUGCUCCUCGAGAGUCUCUGAAUGAGCACAUGAUCCAUGGUUAAUUAACAGGAUCUACAUCCUCCUGUGCUCAUCUGUAAAGUAUUAAAACUCGGCAAGUUUUUGCUUAGUCACAUCAACAUGUAAGUGGCAGUGAACUGCAUCAGAGCAUGUGUUCCGGUUUUGCUUCAGGUGGAGAAGCAUAUCUGAAGUUGUUAUGUAACUUGUGUCGAUACUUGAUUAAAUAGCAAUAUAGCAUCCGAUUUUGUAG